CCUACGGGGCGCAGCAGUGGGGAAUAUUGCACAAUGGGGGAAACCCUGAUGUAGCAACGCCGCGUGAGUGAAGAAGUAUUUCGGUAUGUAAAGCUCUAUCAGCAGGGAAGAAAAUGACGGUACCUGAGUAAGAAGCCCCGGCUAACUACGUGCCAGCAGCCGCGGUAAUACGUAGGGAGCAAGCGUUAUCCGGAUUUAUUGGGUGUAAAGGGUGCGUAGACGGGUAUAUACGUUAGUUGUGAAAUCCCUCGGCUCAACUGAGGAACUGCAACUAAAACUGUAAAUCUUGAGUGCGGGAGAGGAAA
rnacentral:rRNA from 1 species